rnacentral:lncRNA from 1 species
GAAAAGGUCUUGCUCUGUUGCCCAGGCUGGAAUGCCAUGGCACGAUCUCAGCUCCUUGCAGCCUUGACCUCCCAGGCUCAAGCAAUCCUCCUGCCUCAGCCUCCUGAGGAAACUACAGCCAUGUACGACAUGCCUGCUUCCCCUUUGCCUUCUGCCAUGAUUAUGUUUCCUGAGGCCUCCCCAGCCAUGCUUCCUGUACAGCCUGCAUAACUGGGCAACUUAGACAGAUACAGACGCACAUAGAAGAAACAUGAUGUGACGACUAGACAAACAUAGAAAGUAGACGACUAUCUAUAAACCCAUAAAAGAGACCUGGAAUAGAUUAUUUACUCACGGCCUUCAGAAGAAAUCAAUCCUGAUGACACAGUGAUUUCAGACUUCUAGCUUUCAAAAUUGUGAAUCAAUAAACUUCUAAUUUUUC